AGACAUAGUGCCACUGUCAUCCCUGCUGGAGAAGGUCCGAAGCACCUCCACCUCUGUGCUUCCAGAGGGGCACUGUGGUGGCCACUUAAAAUGCUCAGGCUAUACCAUGCACUAGAGCAUCUACCUGGGCAAGGGAUAUGCUGUAUGACACUCUCCUGAUGCUGGGCAUGGCUGUGAGCCAAAGCACCCAGGCAGCCCUGCCAUCAGAAGGGUAAACCACGGACACCUGAUGCCUUCCUGAAGGAAGAGCACUACGCCUGCCAAACCAUCAAGCGUUGAUGCUCCAGCGCCUUCUACCCGUGGUUCUCCAGCCUCAGCAGAAGAGAGAGAAAUUGAUGACCCUGUCGUUGUAGCAUCCCCAUCACCCAGCAAUUAAUUUUAGUUCAAUGCUUCAAACGCUCUUCAGGCGCAGUGUGCGUUCAGCUGUGUCAGCUAAUGCAAAUGGGGGAUCUCAGAAGUCUUAAUGAAGUAACUAUCCCUGAACACUGGGAUCAAUACUCAGCAUCCAGCUGUCAAAUCAACACCAAGGUCUAUACCUAACUGGAGACACUGAGAAGAAGAAUCAGGGAUGAAUGCAAGAAGCGUUUCACUCGUCGCCCAGCCUAGAGUGCAAUGGCGCUAUUUCGGCUCAUUAUAACCUCCGCCUCCCGGGUUCAAGCAAUUCUUCUGCUUCAGCGUCCCAAGUAGCUGGGAUUACAGGUGAGCACCAUCAUGCCUGGCUAAUUUUGUAUUUUUAGUGGAGAUGGGGUUUCACCAUACUGGCCAGGCCGGUUUCAAACUCCUGACCUCAGGCGAUCCGCCCUCCUUGGCCUCCCAAAGUGCUGGGAUUACAGGGAUGAGCCACCACCGCGCCCGGCCUUGAUGUACUUUUUCUAUUAAAUGAUCUAAGAACAAUUUUACGGGCAGAAAGUAUGACUGUAAUAAAUGUAUGCAAUCCAAAACUACCACCCACCAUCUAUGAAAAUACAAAAAUCAAGCUGUCAUGCCAAAUCUAACUGGUUACUUCUGUUUCUCUGCUAAUAGUCGUUAGCUACACUCAUUUAUUUGUUUUAUUGUGACAGUGUCCACUGUCAGAUAAGUAAGAGCAGGUGCUGAAAUUUUAAGAAACAUUUGAGGGAACAUUUUCAAUGGAAUCUGUUGAAGUUGAGGUGCCUUUAGUACACUAGUAUAACUGCAUCACCCCUGAGUGUUAGCGAUAAGUGCAAUGAUUUAAUUUUACUGUGGAACUCCCAAGUCCAGCUUAUGGAAUAAAUUCCGGAUCAUAGUUUGAGAACUACUGGCUUAAAGGGUCCCAUUUCUUGCUUCUUUAAGUGUCAAACAGUGACUGUGAGAUAUAUAUAUAUAUAUAUAUAUAUAUUCCUGGCCCAAGUGAUGGGCAAGCUUCAAAGCAGUUGAGGACUCCAGUCAAAACUAACUGUGCCCCCUGAGUGUUCUAGCUCUGAGGAUUUGGUCCCUGGCUUCUUCCUUCAAUCUGCACCAUCAAGAAGCAUUCUUGGCCAGGUGCAGUGCCUCACACCUGUAAUCCCAGCACUUUGGGAGGCCGAAGUGGGUGGGUCACUUGAGGUCAGGAGUUUGAGACCAGCCUGGCCAACAUGGUGAAACCUCAUCUCUAACUAAAAAUACCAAAAUUAGCUGGGAGUGAUGGCCUAUGCCUGUAAUCCCAGCUACUCAGGAGGCUGAGGCACAAGAACUGCUUGAACCUGGUAAGAGGAGGUUGCAGUGAGCCGAGAUCAUACCACUGCACUCCAGCCUGGCCAACUGAACGAGACUCUGUCUCAGAGAAAGAAAAAAAGAAAAAAAAUCUUCUAGGCUCUGCACAUAGGCCAUGUGCUAAAAUCAGCAUUCCAAGGGCCAGAAGGACUCCUAGAGGCAUCUUUCAGAUGCUGACACUAGUUCAGAGCCUCACAGAUAGCUCCAGUUUCUGCCUAAGUACCUUCAGGGACUGGGAGCUCACUACUUCCCCCAAAAAAGGUUCUUAUGAACCAUCAUCUCCUAUCUCCACCCUCUAAAACCACCCAGUUCUUAACUUCUGCUUUGUUUUUGCUAUCAGCACUCUCUGCCUUGUAUUGUUGUUAUUUGGAUACUUAACUGUCACACAGUGGUAAGGGCUUAGGUUUUGGAACCACUUGCAUUAGAAUCCCAGCUCCGUAUUUAUCUCCACCAUUUACCAGCCAUGUGACCUUGGCAAAUUACUUAACCUCUCUGAGCCUCAGUUAUCGCCUAUAUGGGAUGGGAAUAACCUUAGGGUCUAUUUCAAGGAUUAUUCGGAGGCCUAAGGUAAUGGGAGGAAUCUGCUUGACAUGUAGAAAGCUCUCAGUACAGCAUAGAUAUUAUUAUUAUUCCUCUGCUAGACUACAAAAUCUCUGAGGGCAGGGACCUCUUCUUGGAUAUCUUUGAACCCCUCCAUAACAGUGGGCAAAGUGUCUGUCAGAGGGUUUUAAUGAAUGCAUCACACAAAAGAGACCGUACUGAACAAGAGAGACAGGAAGCUUGGAUAAUUAUUUGAAUAUCUACAGUCAUCAGAAGGCUUAUAAAUGUAAAGCCAAAGCUCCUGCCAAAGAAAUGUGUGGAGCAGAAAAGAAAACCCAGAGCAGAAUGUCAAGAGCAAGGAUGUGUUGGGACAGGAAAUGAAGACGAGAUUGGGAGAGGUCAUGCAGAAUCAGGUCACAUUCUGGAGGGAAGAAGGAGCAAAGGCACAUGAUGAGAGAGUGCUAAUUAAGGUGGCCAAAGAGAACAGUGUGGUGCUGUAAAUGCCGGCAGAGCAAGGAGCCCUGCUGCCAGCCUGACCCAACACAGUCACGUUGAUGAAAAUGGAAAAGGAUGGCUGGAGGUAAUGAUAAUGUAUUACAGAUUGCAAAAUCGCUAGAAGAGAGGGUUUUGAAUGUUCUCAUCCCAAAGAAAUAAUAAAUGUUUAAGGUGCUGGAUGUGUUAAUUACCUUGAUUCGAUCAUUACACAAUGUACACUUGUACUGAAACAUCACAUUGUACCCCAUAAGUAUGUGCAAUCAUGUCAAUCAUAAAUUUAAAAAUUAAAUUUUUUAAAAAAGGAAAAACAAUCUUUCCACCACACAAAUCAUUUUCUGAGCCUGCACAUUGGCAUUCAUCUUUCCUCCUACGCUUGUGGCCUUAAAGAGGAGGAGUAUGAUUGGCAGCGUGGCAGCCUCUCGAUAUUUACGGACCCUAGCGCUCACUCCUGGCUUCAAUGGUGUUUUCAGCUGGAGCCUCUUCCUGCCAUUCCUUUCCUCUCUGCAUGGCUGCUGAUGCUCAUCCGGGAGCAGGAAAUGAGUGCAUUCUUGGGCUUUUCUGCAAUUAGUCUUCUAAAGAGAAAAACAAAACCAAACAAGAAAGAAAACUGAAGGUUUAGGGAUAUUCUAAAAACUUUUACAGGCUGGCCAUUGAUGGAGGCCAGUAAAGAACGGUGGAGGCUGGCGACUCAGCCCCUCUGGAUUGGGGGUUUGUGGGAAUUUAUCUCGGG
rnacentral:lncRNA from 1 species